AAAAAAUACCUGUUAUCAAAACCCACCCCAUACCCUAAACAAACUCAACGCCCCCCUCUCAAUACCCUCUCCGCAGUACAAGACGGAGAAGGACGGGGUACUGGAGACGCGCGUCGAGCAGAAGAUCACUAUUCAGAGCGACGGAGACCCCAUAGACCACGACCGAGCUCUGGCCGAUGCCAUACAGGAGGCAACUAGUAUGAACCCCGACAUGACGGUGGAAAAGAUCGAGAUACAACAACAGUCGACGGAGUGAGGGACGUCGUCGAGGAUGUAAAUUAUAAGGUUCCUGCACUGCCUAUAGAUGUCACCGCUGCUGUAUCGAAGAAGACAACAAGAUACUGACAGAGAGAUAGAGAAGAAUCACCCCUAUGGAACAAGGCAAUUAGGCGCUCAGAACCCUAAUGAACCAGUGUGCUAGUUGUAUUUCUUUAUUUUUUUUGUCUAUCUUGUUGAUUUGUCGAUCUUUCUGUCGCGGAUUGCCCCCCAGUUACUUUCAACACGUAGAGGUCCAGUCACUUUUUUUAACUGGUCGACACACGGUUAUUUCUCCCGACACACAGUUAUCCAGUCCUUACAAGCAUCACCACUACCAGUCUCUUCCAGUAACCACCUCUUCACACAGUAUUACCCCAAGCAUCUCACACCAGGAUUCAUAUUAUUUCUCCUACGACGUGCUGGCAAACUUACCAAGACGUAAGCUGUGUUUAGCACGAUGGUCUGCCGUAUGGCGCUACCCGACGCUAUGCCCUACGACACUGUACCGUACGGCGCUAUCCGACACUCACACCAGCAUUGGGCAUCACAUGGGCAAUCAAAUUCUUCUUGAAAUGGAUGCAAAUUUCACAAGCCGCAAUUGGUCGAGAAACCGUGUCGAUGUCUGUGUGGACCCCCGGGCUACCCCAUGACGCAGGUGGACGUAAGCCUCGGGGUGUCAUUCUUACUCAACAACGAGUGCGAGGUUUAUUAUUAUUAUUGGUUAAAGCACUCGGGAGGUUAUCUGUCUGUCUGUAUGACUUUCCUCAGUUCAGUGGGACAAGGAUUUCGGUACAAGGGAGCUCUUGAGUUAGUGAUGUAGAUUGUCUAGUUAUGUUUAGGUUUAGUUUAUGUAAGAUUUUCUUCCUCCCUCCCUCCCUCCC